AGCAGCCGCGGUAAUUCCAGCUCCAAUAGCGUAUAUUAAAGUUGUUGCAGUUAAAAGCUCGUAGUUGAAUUUCGGGAUUGACACAUCGGUCGUGCCUUAAGGGGUAUGAACUGGUGUAGUCAAUUUCUCACCUUCUGGAGAACCGCGAUGCCCUUAAUUGGGUGUCGCGGGGAACCAGGACCUUUACUUUGAAAAAUUAGAGUGUUUAAAGCAGGCAUUUUGCUUGAAUACAUUAGCAUGGAAUAAUAAAUAGGACGGCAUGAUUCUAUUUUGUUGGUUUCUAGGAUCACCGUAAUGAUUAAUAGGGAUAGUUGGGGGCAUUAGUAUUCUAAUUGUCAGAGGUGAAAUUCUUGGAUUUAUUGAAGACUAACUACUGCGAAAGCAUUUGCCAAGGAUGUUUUCAUUAAUCAAGAACGAAAGUUAGGGGAUCGAAGACGAUCAGAUACCGUCGUAGUCUUAACCAUAGACUAUGCCGACUAGGAAUCAGACGAUGUAAUUUUUAAUGACUCGUUUGGCUACC
rnacentral:rRNA from 1 species